rnacentral:rRNA from 1 species
AAUGAACGCUGGCGGCGUGCCUAACACAUGCAAGUCGAGCGAGAAAUCCCGGGUUCGCCUGGGAGAGUACAGCGGCGCACGGGUGAGUAACGCGUGGGUAACCUGCCCUCGAGUGGGGGAUAACCUUCCGAAAGGAGGACUAAUCCCGCAUACGUCAUCAGGACACAAGUCCUGAUGGGAAAGAUGGCCUCUGUUUACAAGCUAUCGCUCUUGGAUGGGCCCGCGUUGGAUUAGCUAGUUGGUGAGGUAACGGCUCACCAAGGCCGCGAUCCAUAACUGGUUUGAGAGGACGACCAGUCACACUGGAACUGAGACACGGUCCAGACUCCUACGGGAGGCAGCAGUGGGGAAUUUUGGACAAUGGGCGCAAGCCUGAUCCAGCCAUUCCGCGUGCAGGAUGAAGGCCUUCGGGUUGUAAACUGCUUUUGUACGGAACGAAACGGCGAGCUCUAAUACAGUUUGCUAAUGACGGUACCGUAAGAAUAAGCACCGGCUAACUACGUG